rnacentral:rRNA from 1 species
GGGUUCCACCUCUUCCCAUUCCGAACAGAGAAGUUAAGCCCGUCAGCGCCGAUGGUACUGCAGAGAUGUGGGAGAGUAGGUCGCCGCUUAU